rnacentral:lncRNA from 1 species
UGGAAGUGGUUGGUGGCAGCGGAUCUGAUGAUGGUAGUGGGGGAAGACGGUGGGUGGUGGAGAGAAAGGGGGCGGCAGAGUCCGCCAAAAAUCAAGCAGCAGCAGUCGAGCCAAACCCCACUGCUCCAUCUGGAAGGCGGCGGAUCUGCGGGAGUGGUGGAGGAAGGCGGUGGGUGGUGGAGAGAGAGGGGGCGGUGGAGUUCGUCGGACAUAGAAGAGGGGGAAGAG